UAUAUGGACGUAUAUGGACGUAUAUACAUACAUAUAUCAGCAGCCUCGGUUUAACCUAGAUCCCUCGAAAGCGUCACUGAUUUUUCGACGCCUGAAUAGUUGGGAUAGUUGGAAGAACGUCGGUCGAGAUAUAAUUAAUUAGUUCUCUCGUGGAAAUUCUUUCGAAUUAUAUAAUUUCCGUCGUGCGGAAAAUAAUCGUUUUCCAACAAGAACGGUGGUUGCAUUACGAGGUAAACUCAUUUAACCAGAAUAAAUCUAAACCGCGUUUUAUUGCCAGAUAAACGGCAUGAUCUUCGCUGUGAGAACAAAAUUAUUUCAUCUCCUACUCUCGUUUUUACUUUCUCGCCUUUUUUUAUUUUUCCUUUUUCCUCUUUUUAUUUUCCGUUUUAUUUCUUACUUCCAUCUUCUUGCGACCGUCAUCCACCAUCUCCAUUUGCAAAACUCUCUCGAUUUCAUUUCACUCUUGACGUAUUUCUGCUUGAAAUACCUGGGUGAAUUAUUUGCGUGUACCACGUGCAGUAGCAUACUAAUGCACCACAUGAGCGAAAAGAGAGAACUCAUGGCAAGCCGCGGGCUUUGAGAGGUUAGGCGAUCGCCAUCUGAACUGAGGAUGGUUGUGUACAAUAAAGUUUUCGAGCGACGAUGCAUAUGUCACGUAGAAGACACAGGAAAUCACGAAACUAAUAGAUCACUGGUGAUGUUUUCGCGUAACGCUUCAGUGUUAUAACGAAAAGGUGUUGGGCGCUGAUUUGUGAGGGUUCUUAUACUAAGCUUUGACGCGGCUUUCCUGUCACUAUCUGAUUAUUGUUCCAAUGCCUGUGACAUACAGGAUGUUUUGUCUACCCUAUUACUGUUUCUGUAAUAUUCCCGCUUUGCUCCGUUAAAGCGUGCGGCUUUGGUGGGUCGUACGAGUUGAACGAUCUCGUUAUCUUCAUCUUCGGUGAUAUUUUAGGCUUCAUUUUGGGCAAUCGUCCUGCGGACUGGUGGAGAAAUUGGUGCCGUUGGUAUUU